CCUACGGGAGGCAGCAGUGGGGAAUAUUGCACAAUGGAGGGAACUCUGAUGCAGCAACGCCGCGUGAGUGAAGAAGGUUUUCGGAUCGUAAAACUCUGUCAUUGGGGAAGAAUAAAUGACGGUACCCACUGAGGAAGCCCCGGCUAACUACSUGCCAGCAGCCGCGGUAAU
rnacentral:rRNA from 1 species